rnacentral:lncRNA from 1 species
CUGAUGAUCAUUCCAAUCUAAGUACUGGGCUACUAAGAUCAGAAAUUUAAUUUUAAAUAUAAUUUAUAUCUACAUGUAUAUGGUCAAAUAAUCUUGGCAUGCAUAUGAAUAUGAUCAUAUCAAAUAUGACAUUCAUCUGAUCUAAUUAGAUCAAUGCAUCAUAUACUUUAUUUUAGAUCUGAAUCUAUAUUUAUACAGCAUAUAAAAUAAAUAAUUCAGAUUUGGAAUCACAUAGAAAUCUAUUCAAAAACACAUAUGAAUGCAUAGAAAAUAAAAUUCUGAUUAAAUUUAUUUUGAUGUUGUGCAAAAUUUUGUUUAAAAUCAUAUCUGAAAAUUUGUCAAAACAGAUUUAAUUCAGAUCUUGAUUAAGUCUAACUUCCAACCUGAGAUACUUCAUAAAAAAAUCUAUUAAAAUAGAUUUAAAAUAGAUCAUAAUCGGGUUGUUACUCUAACAGAAAAUUUUGCAACAAAAAAUUCUAUUAUAACAGAUUUCAAUCAACCAUUGAUUUAGAUCUUAAAAUUUGGUCAAAACUAGAUCAAAAAAAUUCAAAUAAAUAGGUUCAAAUCAGAUUUAAUAUCUACUAUAAAAAUUUGAUUACAUAUCAAAUGUAAAGCUAUCAGAAAAAAAUUAACUAUGCAUCUAUUUUAUCAAACCUUGCUCUGAUACUAGUUGAAGAAAAAAAUCCAAUC